rnacentral:rRNA from 1 species
CAGUCGCCGCGGUAAUACGAGGGGGCUAGCGUUGUUCGGAUUUACUGGGCGUAAAGCGCACGUAGGCGGAUCGAUCAGUCAGGGGUGAAAUCCCAGAGCUCAACUCUGGAACUGCCUUUGAUACUGUCGAUCUGGAGUAUGGAAGAGGUGAGUGGAAUUCCGAGUGUAGAGGUGAAAUUCGUAGAUUUUCGGAAGAACACCAGUGGCGAAGGCGGCUUACUGGCUCAUUCUAGACGCUGAGGUGCGAAAGCGUGGGGAGCAAACAGGAUUAGAUACCCCCGUAGUCCCUGUCUCUUAUACC